rnacentral:rRNA from 1 species
AGCAGCCGCCGCGGGAAAACGUAGGGGGCAAGCGUUAUCCGGAAUAACUGGGCGUAAAGGGUGCGCAGGUGGUUUAACAAGUUAGUGGUGAAAGGCAUAGGCUCAACCAAUGUAAGCCAUUAAAACUGUUUAACUUGAGUGCAAGAGGGGAGAGUGGAAUUCCAUGUGUAGCGGUGAAAUGCGUAGAUAUAUGGAGGAACACCGGUGGCGAAAGCGGCUCUCUGGCUUGUAACUGACGCUGAGGCUCGAAAGCGUGGGGAGCAAACAGGAUUAGAUACCCCUGUAGUCCCUGUCUCUUAUACC